rnacentral:lncRNA from 1 species
CACUUAAUAUCUGACUCACAUUUAUUAAAAAUUGAAAUUACAGAAAAGCAUGAAUAAUAUUGGCUUUAUUAAACAAGCUUAAUUAACUUACCUUUGACUAACAAAUCAAAGCAUUUAAUAUCACAAAAGGAAUUUUGAGCACGAGGUCAAUUCCAACCUCUGAAGUUAAAAACAAAUGAAAAGCAGCCAAGACAUUUUCCAAAGGAGAGAGCAACCACAGAUCUCCCUCUAGUGGCAAGAGAUAAAGUUGCUGCUGAAAAGCUGAACUGCUUCUGUACCAAUACAUAAAACUGCUCACAGACAUUACUUUUAUAUAACUUAAGAAAACUCUAGAAGGAAAAUAGAUCUGGUUUUUGUAAACAACGUUAGACCUAAUUUUCACUUACUAUGAAUUCUAAUGUCUCUAGAAAUCUGAUCUUUCCAGGAGAAAAGAGAUUUGCCAGUGACAUCUGGGGAAUUGGGACUUACACAAAACAAAAGCUACGGAGCCUUAACCAAACUGAGCAAAAGAAAAGAGAGAAAUUUUUCUGUUGAUAAAUGUUCUAGGAUGGGACAUGAAAAGGAGUAGAUUCAGAAGUAUAAAGUAGUAAGCAGCAGUGGGUUUGUAAAAAUCCAUGGUACAUCAAAAGAGACCAGCUUUUAUAUACACUGAAGUAAGUACAGAAUGUACAGAAGACAGAUAUAUAUACAAAAGUGCAUUAAUACAGUAAUACAUUUAGCAGAAAUACAGGAAAAAAAUCCUGGUUAACAAUCUGAUACAUUACAGUAUUUAAGACUACUUGAAGAUUCUCCAAACCAGUCAAUGUCCUACUUGCUUUGGUUAUGAUAUUGAUGCUACAUAACUAACCUUUGAAACUAAAACAAAAAAAUUGAAAUUUUUAACCAUCUGUGAAAUGUUUUACAUACACUUGUGUUUAUUCUUAAUAGCUU